GCUUUUUUUUUUUUGUGCUUUAAGCGCAAAAAGCCCUCGCUUCACUAGAUGCGCUUUGCUUAGCAUAUGUAAAUACACAUUUCUAUUCGUUGUUGUGCUUUUGACUACAUUGAAUGUGAGGGUGCACUUUGACACAAAAUUUUAACAGUCACAGAAGGUAAUGUUUUUUUUCAUGAGACUUUUCUUAUGUUAAUGCUUAAUGUCACAGAAGGAAGGCAAUGUUGUUCACACCUCUACUUUUCACUUCUGUUUGCCCCCUUUUGUGCAUGCAAGGGCCUUGUUUACUCCAUAAUUUUGUUUCUGAUACUUCUUUGCUCCUUACCAUUUGUAUGGCAAUUUUUGCACAACAUUAGUAAAUUGCCCCCCCUCUCGUACGUAAAAGUUUCAGGUCUGUCCUUCUGGUUGUAUUUUACAAUAUAUUAAUUUAGUGUGGCUAUUAAUAAAUUCUUUGUAAUGAAUGGUAUAACCUUUGCCCUUUUGUCCUUCUUAUAGGUCAACCUAAGGAGCCCAAAAAUGGAAAUAGGAAAUGGCACAUACAAAUAUAGUACAUUUGUAAUGAUUUUAUUACAAAAAAUUUAUUUUAAUGUUAGUUAACAUAGAUGCAAAACUCCAUGAAAUAAAAGUUUCUUCAGUGUUAAGUAUAUCAACGUAUAGUUCUAAAUAUAAUUACAUACCCUUUUUAUCCUUGAAAACUUUAAUAUCUUGAAUUAUUUGGGAAAGAGAGGUUUGGUUCCAUUGU
rnacentral:misc_RNA from 1 species